GACGAACGCUGGCGGCGUGCCUAAUACAUGCAAGUAGAACGCUGAAGAGAGGAGCUUGCUCUUCUUGGAUGAGUUGCGAACGGGUGAGUAACGCGUAGGUAACCUGCCUUGUAGCGGGGGAUAACUAUUGGAAACGAUAGCUAAUACCGCAUAACAAUGGAUGACACAUGUCAUUUAUUUGAAAGGGGCAAUUGCUCCACUACAAGAUGGACCUGCGUUGUAUUAGCUAGUAGGUGAGGUAAUGGCUCACCUAGGCGACGAUACAUAGCCGACCUGAGAGGGUGAUCGGCCACACUGGGACUGAGACACGGCCCAGACUCCUACGGGAGGCAGCAGUAGGGAAGCUUAGGCAAUGGGGGCAACCCUGACCGAGAAACGCCGCGUGAGUGAAGAAGGUUUUCGGAUCGUAAAGCUCUGUUGUAAGUCAAGAACGGGUGUGAGAGUGGAAAGUUCACACUGUGACGGUAGCUUACCAGAAAGGGACGGCUAACUACGUG
rnacentral:rRNA from 1 species